rnacentral:rRNA from 1 species
AACGAACGCUGGCGGCAUGCCUAACACAUGCCAGUCGAACGAGACCUUCGGGUCUAGUGGCGCACGGGUGCGUAACGCGUGGGAACCUGCCCUUAGGUUCGGAAUAACUCCCCGAAAGGGGUGCUAAUACCGGAUAAUGUCUUCGGACCAAAGAUUUAUCGCCUUUGGAUGGGCCCGCGUUGGAUUAGCUAGUUGGUAGGGUAAAAGCCUACCAAGGCGACGAUCCAUAGCUGGUCUGAGAGGAUGAUCAGCCACACUGGGACUGAGACACGGCCCAGACUCCUACGGGAGGCAGCAGUGGGGAAUAUUGGACAAUGGGCGAAAGCCUGAUCCAGCAAUGCCGCGUGAGUGAUGAAGGCCUUAGGGUUGUAAAGCUCUUUUACCCGGGAUGAUAAUGACAGUACCGGGAGAAUAAGCUCCGGCUACCUCCGUG